rnacentral:lncRNA from 10 species
UUAUAAUUUUUUUAAAAAAAAUUCUGUUUUGAUUUAGAGAUAAAAGACCUUUGAAAAAAUUCCAAACAGCUUCACAUAAGCUUCAGAGUUUGAGAAAGCUUACCUCGCUGAAUUAAACAUUAGAUACUUUUGAUGUGUGAGUGUUUCUUCCUCAAUCUUCGAAAGAGCCUUGCUUAAAUAUUUAAGCCACAGUAUACAGUGUCAAGUUUAAAAAGAAGAACUUUUACAUCGAACUUGAAAAUAAUAAAUUCAAGCUUCAGUUAAGCAUUUGGAUGGAUUUGGGAAGCAUCACAGGGACUCAUGCAGGUGAUGGUCUGGUAGAAUUAGAAGUAAUGUUUUCCUUCAUACAUACACUUUGCAAUAAGUCUGAAGCAAAUGCAGACCAUUUUUCUCCUAGGAUUCUUCACAGUUUCUGCCAUUAGUCAUACCAAGCAUAUGGAAAUAGAAAUAUAAAUUUUAAUGUAGCAUGUAUUUCCAGAGGAUGUAGGGCUAUGAUAGGAGAACCUCUUUUACUGUCUAUUCUUAAGUCAUUAAACAACAUGACUAUCAUGGUGUUCAGUAAAUUCACUUUUCCAGUCUGACCUCCCUCCUAAAUUGCUCAUCUCACAUAUUAACAGGGCAGAGCAGUUCCUUUUUACCUCAAAUUCUUGAAAUAAAUUAAGACACCAUCUCUAAGUAUUUCAUUUUCACCUCCUAUUUUCCUAUGAGUACAACAAAUUGGAAAAUUUAAAGACAUUUUUAAUACUCUUUUCUUUCAAAUAUACAUUGUCAUCAUUUCUAGAUAUUAUUCUUUACACAAAUGUGUUGAUUCAUCCAUUCUGACCCAUUCUCACCAUAAUCAAGAGUCCUACCACUUCACAAUAGUUUUAUUGGAACAUCCUGUUAGCUAGGCUAAGAUUAUUUUAUUCUUUUCUAAAUGACUCUAAAAGUGUUACUAGAUUAUUUUAGUAGUUACUUUUAAAAGCGCUUUGUAAAACAGUUGCAGUCUAAGCUUUCAUUCCAUAUUCAUGAAACCCUUUUCUAACUAUUGUAACAAAUCCUAAAACUAUAUCUCUUACAAACAAAUAUUUAAGGUAUUCUUUAAUUCAAUAUACAUUUGUUUACACCUUCUUCAUAUCAGUCAUAGGCAUGAUGUACCCCCAAACUAUUUAUGUGUCCUUCACACAGAAUAUUUGUGUGGAUCUUGUCCCUGUGGAGUUUAACCAUGGAGUCACGACAAAGUAUAACCUCAGUGCUUAGCACAUGGCUAUAAACAUAUUAAACACCCGAUAAAUAUUUGUUGAAAUAAUGAAUGAAUGCAUAGAGAAAUAAUGGUGAAAUGAUUGAUUUGAAAAGGUAACAACAGAAAGCUGUGUGUACAAAGGUAGCAUGAAAGACCGGAAAACUGAUUUUCUCUAGGUACUUAAGAAAGGCUUCAUUACUUGAUAUUGAAGCUAAGUCUCAAAGGGUAAUAGAUGCUAAGGGCAUUUCAGGCAAUGGAUAUAUGUAAAAUUCCCAAUCAUAAAGUAACCUAGAGGUUUGAGAACCAGCAAUCAUUCUGCGAUUUUGUAGGCUUCAGGGACCGCAACAGUCAAGUAGUGGUAGGUGGGAUUUUAGUCACCAGAGCUCAUCUGUGACUAUGGCUGUAGCGUUCCUCUUUUAAUAAGAUGCUUUAGGAGGUUUACCGUGAGCCUCUCUGUGAGUGUGGAGAAAAAACUACAUGGUGGAAAUUUCAACACCUUGACAAUCAAUGUAGGAAUGUCAAGGGCAAGGAGACGGGGUCAUCUCCAUGCUUUCCUUGUUCACUGUUGCAAACACAGCAGAGACUCUUCUCACUGGGGGUGGAUGUAUGCACUUGGAGAAAGCCAUUCCAGCCCUUCCUGUGGCAGUUCUAUCCCAGUUGAAAGUGAGUUUGUGCAGCUAGUUCUUGCAUGAAGGAUAGUGCUCAAUUCCUGCUUCCUACACAGAGUAACAGCAUCCCAGCAACAGAGGCAGACAAGCCAGAGUAGUCAGUUCUGGACUAUGAGAAAAGGCUCUGCCCUGAGCCCAGUUAGGUGAAAGCUGCUAGAGGGGCAUAUUUGUAGUCCACAGCCACACAGGACGAAGUCUGUAUAAACUGAAAGUCCUGAGCCCUGUGACAGGGGUGUGAUAGGGAAGUGGAUUGAAUUAUUGUCUUCCCACAAUGAGGAGGUGUUGCAUUCCCCAAGUCCAGCCCAGAAUACCUUAGCACACUCCAACACAAUCUCCCACCACCACUGGCCACAUGAGAGCAGGUGCUUCUACUCAUCAUCACCUACCUGAGGGCAAUCAAGCUCUUACAAUUAACUGCCACCUACUGAACUGAAGCUUGAACUGCACAACCAAAUAAAAAACUUGCUUCCAGAAGUGCAUAGUGCUAGUGCAGUAGAUAAGCAUCCUGAUACCUGCACAUUCUCAGCCCUGCAGGAGAGAAUUGUUGGUUCAUGCAUCCAAUCUACUGCGAAACAAGUAGUAUCAACGAAAACCACCAAACAAACAAACAAAAAC